rnacentral:lncRNA from 1 species
UAAAUAUGAAAACUUCUCUGCCAUUUGGAUCAGUCAAGUGAUGGAGGUUACUUUAAGCUCUAAAAAUUCUAGAGGUUAUGUGGCAUGCUUCGUAUAUCUUAUAAGUUAAGGUUAAUAUUGAUGGUGUAGCUACUCUUGGUCAAGCAGGUUUGUGUGGCAAAUUCAUGAUCAUUUAGGUUUUGUGCUUGGUUGUUUUUCAGGGGCUUUUAGGUUGGUCUAUGCAUUAGAGGCUAAAUUUCAAGUAGGUAUGAUGUUAUUCAUAUUGCAGCCCAUACAUGUUUGCACUCCCUUUGGAUUAAAAGUUGGUUAUUCACUAUCUAUCCUCUCAUCAUAGGGAUAUGUCAUGGUGAUACUCUACUGUUUCAUUCAAUUGCCAAGUGACGUUUGCAUCUAUGUUGGUGUAUGGGUCAUCAUUCCUAAAACCCCACGGGUACUUGCUCGGCCCAUAAAAAAACUCAUCUCGACCCUACCCAUUGAGCAUGAGGCAGGUUAGGGCGGAGGGUUCAAAACUCUGGCUUGACCCUAUAAAGCCUCCUGAAAGCACAUUCAGUUUUAACUUUAAUAUUUUCUUUAAUAGAGUCAUUAGUUGAAUAUGUGAACUAAUUAUCAAGAUCAUAGUUUCCUUCAUUUUGUAAUAUAGUUCAAUCAUUAAAAUAUUAUUAAUUAUUUUUUUAUAAUUGUAUCUUAAAAAAUGCAUUUACAAUUAUGGGCUCAACCCUGUGCACAUCUAAAAAGCUCGGCCCAAAAAACACCCUAUAAAGCCCUGGGCAUAUGGGUGGCCUUGAGGCAUAAAUGUCUUGUCCUAAAAUAUGAAAAAUUGGCUUAAGGCUUGGCCCUGCCCAUUUGACGACCCCUAUGUUGGUGAAAGUUUCACAUGUCUAUCAUGAAGGUAAGUGGCUGAAAUUUUACCUAAUUUUUUGUGCAAAUCAUGUGGGUGUGCAUUAGUGGUACUUUUUCCCUCCUGGUGCUCUUGUGGCAUAUAACCGAGAUCCAGCAAGCCUUCAUAACUGUAGAUUUGCAUAGUAUAUCGAAUUUGGUUGGAUUGAGUUGAGUUUAGUCACUGCUCUUGAGUUAUUCUUUUAUCUGUCCUUAAUAGUACUCAGUUUCCUCUUCAUUAAAGACUGUGUUUUAUUAUCUUUAAAGGUAGACGUUCUUAAAUAUAAGUUUUAGAAUAGUUGUUGUUUAUGUAGAGUUCUGGGGUCCUUCCCUCAAGUACCUACAUAAAUAAAACACGUCAGAUGUCGCAACUGGAGUGGAUCAGUCUUCGACUCUCCAAUGCUUAAGUCAGCGAAGUGUCGCUACUUGUACUGUAUGAGAAUUAGGUGAAUAGUGAACUUACAUAUUUAGGAAGGUUGAGUCUGUCUUAUAGACUUGUCUUGGGAGUUGUGCCAUAGCCAUUCGAUGUGGAAUUUAGGCUCUGGGCAAGUUCGCUGCUUCCUAUAGGCGGGCCCAUGGCCACCACUAGGCUGCACCGACAGGCAUGAGGAGGGACCAGCCUCUCUAUUUUGGGUAACAGAUGUGUCGUCGGUAGCGUCAACAGAGCUCGGGGCUAUCUCUAGUGACCAGAAUAUAGAGUAUUCUCGGUGCGAUUUUAUAUAUAUGGAGAUAUAAACAAGUCCCCAAGUCCCAAGUCAAAGAGUACUCUUGGGUGGGGAGUUUGUCUGACCGUACCGAAAGUAUGUCUCGUGGCAAAAUCUGGAGAUUGUGGUUAAUCUCAGUCCCCAAGUCCACUCGCGACUAGGUUUGUGGUUGCACGGACUCGGGACCGAGGUAGUGGUUUCCAGUCUUUAAAUUCGCACAUACGUCAUAAAUGGCCAGUUUAUGAGAGGCAUGUGGAGUUUUUAAUGAUGUGUAGGGUUUGUAACGGUUUGAUGGAGUUAUGGUUUCUUGGUUUAUAUGCGCAUGUAAAAGACGUGGGGGCGUCUUUAAUAUGUGGUAUGAGACGUGGCUUACGUGGAGCGCAUCUGAUCAUUUUGUUAUUUCACGUUGAAAGGCUGGGAUUGAGAUGAGUUUCUAUAAAUAGGGAAAAAUUAGGGAAAGGAAGUAGUUCUGAAUUUGAAAGUUUCAAGCGAUAGAGAGAGUUGCAUUAGUGUUGAGAGCGAAAUCGAACCUGGGAAACGUGCAAUUUCAUCGCCAAUCAAUGGGUUGUGAGUCAUCUGUUGUUUGCAAUCAGCGUCAUUGUCAUUACACAUAUCCAUUGUCACAUCCCGACCCUUAUAUUUUUACCUUAUUUACUAGCGUGUUUAUAAUAAGAAUUUUACCGUCUCGAUCAUUGAGUAAAUAGUUUAAUUGGUCCCUAGAGGGGUUUCGGGGACGAUUAUGUGCGGAGGAUUAUUCGUAUGAGGAAAAUACGACGACGGUAAAAAUAGUAAAUUUUAGCUAGUAAAAGGUAAUUUUUAUUCGGGUAUUAUUUUUCGGGGUGUUUUUAUUUUGGAAGUUUGGGUUAAAAAGGGGUGUUGGGUCGGCUGGGCCGAGCCCAACCCAUUUCUUUCUUCUUUCUCUUCUCCCUCUCUCCCGAUUCUCUCUCCUCCCACCCGAUUUUCUUCUCUCUACACCCAGCAGACUUCCGGCCGUCCUCCCGCCGCCGUCCGACCUCCGUUCGCCGCCGUCCGACCUCCGUUCGCCGCCGGACCGGUCCCGUUCGGUCGGUCUCCCUCCCAGCUUCCAUUCUAGGCCGGUAGCAGCCCCCCUAGCGCCGCCGUGAGUGAGCGGUGCCGCCCGUAAGGUCCGACUGUCCAAACCUUCCCUUCACCGGAACUUCCUCCUCCGGCCACCAAUCCGGGCAAGCUUGGUAUGGUUUUGUAGCCCUCCAACCCAGCAACCUUGCCCUAAAAGGACUCACUCCCUCUUGAGCUAGGUAAGGAGAAAUUUGAGGUGGAAGUUUUAUGGUGUUUUUGAUGUGUUUAGUCGAUUGCCCUAGUUAGGCUUGGAAUUGGUGUUUGUGCUAGUUAUGAAAGUUGUAGAGCUUGAUGAGAGGAAGAUGCUGUUAAAAUUUCAUAGGUUUUGGAGGUCGCCGGAAUUGACCUCCGGCCGCCGCUGCCGGCGGAGCCGCCGGCGGCGCCGCCGCCGGUUGGGAGAUUUUAAUGUUGUUAAAUUUGGAUUAUUAAGGGGAGUUUAUUGAAGUGAGUUAUGGAAUUUUUGGAUGAGUUUUGGAUAGGUUUAUGAAUUUCCGAAGUUUGGUAUUUUUGGCGGUUAAUUAAUGUAGAAUCCGGCCGUAGGAUUUAAGUCGUAUUUUGGAGAGGUUGUAUUUACGACUUUUGAGUAUGAUAUUUAAGUUCGGAUCGUUCCGAUGUAAGAAUAUCGAAGUUAGGCAAUGAUGAGCGUAAUUAUGGCUCUCGGGUAAUUUUGCCUAUUUUGAUUAAAUAUUGGAUUAUUGGAUGGGAAAUUAAUAUUUUAUUUGGAACAGGACGUGAGGAGGCUCGAGCAGACGAGACCCCAGAUCGACAGCAGGCUUAGGCCUAAUUUGUGAGUGGACGUUUAUUUUAAAUAAAUGCAUGCUAAAGUUCACGAUUGAAUAAUUAAUGUCGUGGAGUAUUUUGACGUCAUUUUAAUUUUUGACGAUUUUUAUUUCUCUUGGAGAGAUACCGAAAAUGGGAUUUUCGGUGGAUAUAAAUAUGUAUUUAUGAGAGAGUAUGUAUAGAAAAUGCUAGCUAGCCAUAUGUGUCUGUCCACCUUAAUGGCGUAGCAUAUAGCCNN